AAUUAAUCUAGCGCUGGCUCAGUCUGCUGCAUAAAGAUACCAGGGCAAGUAGCUGAGCCUUUUUAACUGGUAGGUUUGCUUCCAAAGGAACCUGCAGCAUCUGUGGCAUGUGUGAAGUGUUCCUGGCCCAAAGGUGCUCCACGUGCUGGGAUGGAGUCACCACAGGCCCCUCGGCCACCUCAGCCCACCCAGCCCCUCACUGCUGCUGCUGCUGGACCAGCCCAUCACAUGGACAGACACCCCAAGGCCACUGGAGUCACCUCAGCUCUGGCAUCUGCACCCCCCCAGCUUUGGAGCAGGUAAUGAGGAGGAACCCAAGUCCCCUCCCCAUCUCUGCAUAGUCAGUGCUUAUUGCUAAAUAAAGGAAAUUCUUUUUCUCCA
rnacentral:lncRNA from 1 species